rnacentral:lncRNA from 1 species
AAACAACUGAAAAAAUUAUUUUGUUUGUUGGAACUGAGAGGAAAUUUAAGUCAGAAAAUCUAAAGUUUAUCUUCUCAGUCAGCUUCAGAAAUGAAGAUGAGAUGGAAAAUGAUAUUGAGAAUAUAUGAGAAAUGAACCUUCACUUAUUCACAAGAAGGAAUGAAUGAUAUUGUAGUCAUGGAAAACACCAUGGAAUUUCCUCUAG